AAUUGCCUACGGGACGCAGCAGUGGGGAAUAUUGCACAAUGGGCGCAAGCCUGAUGCAGCCAUGCCGCGUGUAUGAAGAAGGCCUUCGGGUUGUAAAGUACUUUCAGCGGGGAGGAAGGGAGUAAAGUUAAUACCUUUGCUCAUUGACGUUACCCGCAGAAGAAGCACCGGCUAACUCCGUGCCAGCAGCCGCGGUAAUACGGAGGGUGCAAGCGUUAAUCGGAAUUACUGGGCGUAAAGCGCACGCAGGCGGCUUGGUAAGUAAGAUGUGAAUUCCCCGGGCUCAACCUGGGAACUGU
rnacentral:rRNA from 1 species